GACGAACGCUGGCGGCGUGCUUAACACAUGCAAGUCGAGCGGUAAGGCCCUUUCGGGGGUACACGAGCGGCGAACGGGUGAGUAACACGUGGGUGACCUGCCCUCAGCUCUGGGAUAAGCCUGGGAAACCGGGUCUAAUACCGGAUAUGACUCCAUGACGCAUGUUGUGGGGUGGAAAGCCUUGUGCGGCUGAGGAUGGGCCCGCGGCCUAUCAGCUUGUUGGUGGGGNGAUGGCCUACCAAGGCGACGACGGGUAGCCGGCCUGAGAGGGCGACCGGCCACACUGGGACUGAGACACGGCCCAGACUCCUACGGGAGGCAGCAGUGGGGAAUCUUGCGCAAUGGGCGAAAGCCUGACGCAGCAACGCCGCGUGGGGAUGAAGGCUCUCGAGUUGUAAACCCCUUUCAGCAGGGACGAAUCUGACGGUACCGGGUGAGGAAGCCCGGCUAACUCUGUGCCAGCCGCCGCAGUAAG
rnacentral:rRNA from 1 species